GACGUAGGGCGCGAGCGUUGUCCGGAUUUAUUGGGCGUAAAGCGCUCGUAGGCGGCUUGUCGCGUCUGCCGUGAAAGUCCGGGGCUCAACUCCGGAUCUGCGGUGGGUACGGGCAGACUAGAGUGCUGUAGGGGAGACUGGAAUUCCUGGUGUAGCGGUGAAAUGCGCAGAUAUCAGGAGGAACACCGAUGGCGAAGGCAGGUCACUGGGCAUUGACUGACGGUGAGGAGCGAAAGCAUGGGGAGCGAACAGG
rnacentral:rRNA from 1 species